CGGCGGACGGCUGAGUAACGCGCGGGGAACAUACCCUAAAGUGAGGGAUAACUACUCGAAAGAGUGGCUAAUACCGCAUAUGAUCUUCGGAUUAAAGCAUUUAUGCGCUUUAGGAAUGGCCUGCGUACGAUUAGAUAGUUGGUGAGGUAAAGGCUCACCAAGUCGACGAUCGUUAGAUGGUUUGAGAGGAUGAUCAUCCAGACUGGGACUGAGACACGGCCCAGACUCCUACGGGAGGCAGCAG
rnacentral:rRNA from 1 species